rnacentral:lncRNA from 1 species
GUCUUUUCGUUUUUCCCACAUUUGGAGACAUUAAACACGCAGACACGACAGGGCAGCCUGCCGCACACCCGGGCUGCUGGUUGGUUGUAUAACAGCGGUUCACCUCAGCUGAACUUGACGCAUCUGGUUUAUCGGCGCACUCCGCAGCCUGCGUGUCCCCGCUAAACCGAGCUGGAUGGCCGGCGAGAGAGGGAGACGCGGCGGAGGGAGAGAGGCGGAGGAGGCGGAGUUGGGGGGGCGCUUUCCACGGCGUUGUGGCUUCUCUUAUCUACGCAACCGACAUGACGAGUUGUCUAUUUCUUCACAUUUUGUCGCCUUGUGCCUUUUUUAUUGUCUUCUCUUCACGCGAUAGAAGACGAGCCGCGGGCACGCAAGAGGAAAUAUAAAGCCCGCGGACUUGGAGUUGGACACCACCGGAGAUCCUCCAACUUAUCGGCCGGGGUGAUGCCACUAUAAACCCAGCUAGGAAGGGCGAGGAGGCCGGCAAAGCAGAGAGGAUAUGUGGACAUACUGUGUGCAGCUACUGACGGGUCCGGCACAAUGAAUGGUGAGGAUUGCUGCGCUUUAUCCCGGAUAGCUGAUUGCUGUGAUGUGGGCCAGUUGCUGGAAAGUCUCAGUGGACUCAAAUUCAGGAGUGGCUUUAUUUUUCCUGGACAUCGAUAUCGAGCAGCAAGACAAGGAGGAAACCUGAGAGGAGGCGAGCCGACCAAACGCACAAACCUGACGCUGCAGAGAGGAGACCUGCCACGCUCCGGUGACAACCAGGAAGUAAUGUGACAGCGUUCGUUGAUCGAGGCAUGACGGUGUAACAUAAUAAUAAUAAUAGUAAUAAUGAUCAUUCUUUUUCUUUCUCAAAUUUAAAUUCUCAGUAAAUAUAAAAAAUUAAAACAACAAAAACUUUCUAAUUAAUAAAUACGUAUCAAAAAGUAAACUGAAACUGGUU